rnacentral:rRNA from 1 species
GCGCGCUACCAUGCAGUCGAGCGGAGAUGAGGUGCUUGCACCUUAUCUUAGCGGCGGACGGGUGAGUAAUGCUUAGGAAUCUGCCAUUUAGUGGGGGACAACAUUCCGAAAGGAAUGCUAAUACCGCAUACGUCCUACGGGAGAAAGCAGGGGAUCUUCGGACCUUGCGCUAAAUGAUGAGCCUAAGUCGGAUUAGCUAGUUGGUGGGGUAAAGGCCUACCAAGGCGACGAUCUGUAGCGGGUCUGAGAGGAUGAUCCGCCACACUGGGACUGAGACACGGCCCAGACUCCUACGGGAGGCAGCAGUGGGGAAUAUUGGACAAUGGGCGGAAGCCUGAUCCAGCCAUGCCGCGUGUGUGAAGAAGGCCUUUUGGUUGUAAAGCACUUUAAGCGAGGAGGAGGCUCCAAUUAAUACUCUGGAUAGUGGACGUUACUCGCAGAAUAAGCACCGGCUAACUCUGUGCCAGCAGCCGCGGUAAUACAGAGGGUGCGAGCGUUAAUCGGAUUUACUGGGCGUAAAGCGUGCGUAGGCGGCUUUUUAAGUCGGAUGUGAAAUCCCGAGCUUAACUUGGAAUUGCAUUCGAUACUGGUAGCUAGAGUAUGGGAGAGGAUGGUAGAAUUCCAGGUGUAGCGGUGAAAUGCGUAGAGAUCUGGAGGAAUACCGAUGGCGAAGGCAGCCAUCUGGCCUAAUACUGACGCUGAGGUACGAAAGCAUGGGGAGCAAACAGGAUUAGAUACCCUGGUAGUCCAUGCCGUAAACGAUGUCUACUAGCCGUUGGGGCCUUUGAGGCUUUAGUGGCGCAGCUAACGCGAUAAGUAGACCGCCUGGGGAGUACGGUCGCAAGACUAAAACUCAAAUGAAUUGACGGGGGCCCGCACAAGCGGUGGAGCAUGUGGUUUAAUUCGAUGCAACGCGAAAACUUUACCUGGCCUUGACAUACUAAAACUUUCCAAAUGGAUUGGUGCCUUCGGAAACUUAAUACAGGUGCUGCAUGGCUUUCUCAGCUCUGUCUGAAUGUUGGGUUAAUCCCCACCGAGCC